AGGAUCCAUGUUGACUUCGACAAAAUGAUCAAAACUACUUUGAUAUUCAUGCCAUAUGUCAAACUUGUGCCGGGCCUAUCUAAUAUCUUUGAAACCUACUAUUGAUGAACUCUAUUGAUUGAUCUUCAUCUUGAUCCAAACUAUGCUCCAUGAUUUCUUGAUUGCAUCGCUUAGAUCUGAUCCUCAACUAGGAAGUCCUAAAUUAUUCUGGUAUCCGAACAGCCUAUUGGACUGAUCAUCCGAUCAAUGGCCCCCUUUCAUUAUUUAAUUUUAUUGAACUAAUUGAAAGAAAAUUGAUUAUGAUUUAAUAUUUUAAAUAGGGUUAGCCGAUUCUUCUAACGAAGUUUGAAGAUCUAGGAUGAUUGAGGUAAGUAGAUCUUAUGCUCCUUAUUUAUUUUAAAAUUAUCAUAUUUUUCAUGCAAAUAGUCUAUUGUUGAUGAAAUCAUAUUUUUCAUAAAAUAAGAAUCAACAUAUGUGAUAUGAAAAGAUAUGUUUUAUUAUAAUCAUUG
rnacentral:lncRNA from 1 species